rnacentral:antisense_RNA from 1 species
CUUGACCGAGCCGAGCAGCAGCGGGCUGUCGCGGUCCUGGCCGUAGGUGGCGAGGAUCGCCUGCGCCUC